UAGCUAGUUGGUAGGGUAAGGGCCUACCAAGGCGACGAUCGGUAGCUGGUCUGAGAGGAUGGCCAGCCACACUGGAACUGAGACACGGUCCAGACUCCUACGGGAGGCAGCAGUGGGGAAUAUUGGACAAUGGGGGGAACCCUGAUCCAGCAAUGCCGCGUGUGUGAAGAAGGCCUGAGGGUUGUAAAGCACUUUCAGUAGGGAGGAGGAUUUGGAGGUUAAGAGCUAUCAAAUUGGACGUUACCUACAGAAGAAGCACCGGCUAACUCCGUGCCAGCAGCCGCGGUAAUACGGAGGGUGCGAGCGUUAAUCGGAAUUACUGGGCGUAAAGGGUGCGUAGGUGGUUGGCUAAGUUAUCUGUAAAAUCCCUGGGCUUAACCUGGGCAGGUCAGAUGAUACUGGUUGACUCGAGUAUGGGAGAGGGUAGUGGAAUUUCCGGUGUAGCGGUGAAAUGCGUAGAGAUCGGAAGGAACACCAGUGGCGAAGGCGGCUACCUGGCCUAAUACUGACACUGAGGCACGAAAGCGUGGGGAGCAAACAGGAUUAGAUACCCUGGUAGUCCACGCUGUAAACGAUGUCAACUAGCUGUUGGUUAUAUAAAAAUAAUUAGUGGCGC
rnacentral:rRNA from 1 species